rnacentral:rRNA from 1 species
CCUACGAGUGGCAGCAGUGAGGAAUAUUGGUCAAUGGACGAGAGUCUGAACCAGCCAAGUAGCGUGAAGGAUGACUGCCCUAUGGGUUGUAAACUUCUUUUAUCUGGGAAUAAAAUGUUCCACGUGUGGGAUUUUGUCUGUACCAUAUGAAUAAGGAUCGGCUAACUCCGUGCCAGCAGACGCGGGAAUACGGAGGAUGCGAGCGUUAUCCGGAUUUAUGGGGUUUAAAGGACGCGUAGGUUGAGUGGUAAGUCAGUUGUGAAAGGUUGCGGCUCAACCGUAAAAUUGCAGUUGAAACUGGCAGUCUAGAGGACAGUAGAGGUGGGCGGAAUUCGUGGUGUAGCGGUGAAAUGCUUAGAUAGCACGAAGAACUCCGAGUGCGAAGGCAGCUCACUGGACUGCAACUGACACUGAGGCUCGAAAGUGUGGGUAUCAAACAGGAUUAGAUACCCCUGUAGUC